rnacentral:rRNA from 1 species
UACGUAGGGUGCAAGCGUUGUCCGGAAUUAUUGGGCGUAAAGGGCUCGUAGGCGGUUUGUCGCGUCGGGAGUGAAAACACCGGGCUUAACUCGGUGCUUGCUUUCGAUACGGGCAGACUGGAGGUAUGCAGGGGGAGAACGGAAUUCCUGGUGUAGCGGUGAAAUGCGCAGAUAUCAGGAGGAACACCGGUGGCGAAGGCGGUUCUCUGGGCAUUACCUGACGCUGAGGAGCGAAAGUGUGGGGAGCGAACAGG